rnacentral:sRNA from 1 species
CUUUAAAGGGUUGAGUCUGGGGGCUCAUCAGAAGAGGUAAUCCCAAGUAACUUGGAAUCUGCAACAGGUGGGUUAGGACCUCAUCCUUAGAUAUUGCUUUAACCAAUUUAUGGGUAAGCCAUAGUUCUGAGCAGAGUCACGUGCUCAUGCGCCCCAUGUGUAGUGACAAUGGGAAUGUAGGCUUAAACAUACGUAACAGCUUCAAAAGAGUUUGUAAAAACAAGGCUGUGAAUAUCAAUAUAAUUGUGAGUCCUUUGGGGAUUUAUUGUAGGUUUGAACGUAAUUUGAAAUACAGUGAUUUGUAGACAGUCAGUAAUUGCUUCACUUGCUCCAUUUGGAAUUUUGUAACUAUUCACUUCUCCAGCAGCAUAAGGUGGUUAAGAAGACAGUUUCUGUUCGUUGUAAAAAAUUACUCCAGGCUUAAGGAGGACAAUUAUUGUGUCUUUAUAUUCAUAUACCCAGGAUUUAGCACAGUGCCUAAUCCAUAAGGGCCACUCUAAAAUGUUUGCCCAGUGAAUAAACCUGGAUAAUAUCAUCCUGUCUGCAAAGCCAGUAUUACAGAGUGAUUGGUUGCCAGUAGGGGAGAUAGCUCCCUUUGGUUACACAAAUUGUGGCAGACAUUGAACCACUCCAAAAGAAACUAAAGCUAUUUAUUUGGGGAUUGAAACAAAAAAGCCUACACAACUUGAAAAAGCAGAAAGACACUCAGAUGGAACCAUAGUGUCUCCCAGCAGAUAUCACCAGAUGGGGGUGGGGGUAAAUAAUUGCAGUCACAUAUGCAGCAGGUAUAUAUAUUUUUACUAAUGGCUUAUUCUUAAACAGGACUUGAGGCCAGAGAAAUUUCAAGGAUAAAUUGCUUUGGGAGAAUGCCUGAUAUCAAUGUCUCCUGAGACAUAGAAGUUUUCCAAAAUAACAAAUCACCAGAUAUAUUAUUUUGUUGCCUCCUCUUCCUUCCCCUGGCCCCUGCCAAUAUGCUUAUUUACAAGAGUUACCUUAUCAGUUGUCUUAGGAGAACACAUUUCCUUCAACAGAAGUCACAGUAUCAUCUUAUGGUCAUAAUUUUACAAUAUCCCUGCCUCUACUGAGAAGAGAUACAUAGCGAAUGGAGAUGUGCUGAGCCAAUGAGGAAUUAAUCCUAGGCAGCACUAGUAGAUGUGGCCACAGCUCUGGCCCCACCCCACUCUGGUGGUCAGGCCAAAAAAGAAGUCAGGUAAGAAGUGUGAAAGGAAAUUCAAUCUUGGGACCCCCAAACUCAUUAAGCCACAGGGAAAAUUCAAGCUGGGAACUGGGUCACGCAAACAUGCCUCCCCCUUUUGGUUCCUAAAUAAGAUGGCUACAAGAUGAAAAGCUACAUGCCUCCCCCAUAUUUUGCCCACAAGGGAAUUCCCAGUGAGCUGCUAGAUCUUUACUCUAAAGGUGUUUCUAUUAAAAUUUCACCAUGGCAAUAUAAAUUGAUAGUUUAUAGAUGCAGUCACCCCUGGCCCACCAGACACAAAUGCAUAUCUGAUUGUUCCCCUGGCCCAGUUUUGUCUGUUAUCUUAUAUAAAAUGCAGAUUCCCUGCAAUUUUCCUCUGCCUCAUUUGUCUGUGUCAUCUUAUGUUAAAAAAAAAUGCAGAUUCACUGAGCCAGACAAAGGCAUGAAUGACUAUUUUUCCCUACCCACCUCUUACAUGAAAAUUGUGUACUUCUCAAUAUCCUGCCCUUUCCCCUUUAAAUUUGGGCCUUCAAAAUCAUCUUUGGAGAAAGGCAUAGACCUGUCUCCUAGGUGUGCGUCCUUAACUUUGGCAAAUAAACCUCCUAAAAUAAUUGAGACUUGUCAUUUUUCUCGAUUGACAGAAGAAAAGACAGAGCCAAGAGGAUGGCAGUGUACUUGGCUACCCCCAGAGCCUAGCUGAGGCUCCAGCCCUGGGCACUUCACUGGAGCGUUCCCUUGCCAGCAGAGGAACCUGCAGCCUAACCUCAUGCUGGGGUAACCUUAAUGUGGGCAAUCCGUCUUACUGUAAUAGACAAAUUGCCUACUUUCACUUAAUCCACAGAUUUACAAGGGACAAACUUUGGCCCUAGGAAUAUUUAUUGAAUAUCAUUUCAUCCUUGUGACUUCCACUUCUUUCUGAUUCCCAUAUCACUAGCCCAAGAGAACUUGAGUAUCUGUUCACAGCUUUGCUCCUCUUUCCCCACAUUAACCACAAAGCAACGGAAAUAGAAUAAAGAGACAAAUGGGUAACUCUAAGUAGGUUCAUCACAUUCAUUACAUGCCCUGUAUCCAGAGCCAAUAUAAAUGGUCUUGAUUCUGAUUGUGUUGAGGUAUAAAAACAUGCUGAUUUCUAUGGCAGGUAUUAAUGAUUAUUACUUGUGUAUUCAUUUGCUCACUGCUCCAUUCUGGAUAUUCUUGGUCUCAGGGCCUAAGGAUCAUUUUCUCGGAUGCAUCACGGCUCAUCUUCCGGCUCAGUUCCUCCAGUGGUGUGCGGGCCACCCUCAGACUGUAUGCAGAGAGCUACGAGAGGGAUCCCAGCGGCCAUGACCAGGAGCCACAGGCAGUGCUGAGCCCUCUCAUAGCCAUCGCACUGAAAAUAUCCCAGAUUCAUGAGAGAACUGGCCGGAGGGGACCCACUGUCAUCACCUGAAUAGAGGAAAGAUCACUCACCAGGGCCAAAGAGAGUGCUCAGCGGGAGAUGCUUCACUGAUGCCUUCUUGCUACCUGUUUGUGCCUCUUAUGACUUUGGAAAAACAAAAGAUAUUUUGCUUUUGGGGGAUAGAGGGUGGGUGGGAAAAGAAAAAAAAUCCAUUUGGUUUUGGUUUUGUCCUAUUCCUCCAAAUGCAGCAGGGCCUUUAGUUGUCUGUUAAAGCUGCACUAUAAUUUGGUAUCUACAUUUUAUCACACAAAGGAACCUCCCCUUUUGACAACAACUGGGCUAGGCAGCUGUUAAUCACAACAUUUGUGCAUCACUUUUGCCAAGUGAGAAAAUGUUCUAAAAUCACAAGAGAGAACAGUGCCAGAAUGAAACUGACCCUAAGUCCCAGGUGCCCCUGGGCAGGCAGAAGGAGACACUCCCAGCAUGGAGGAGGGUUUAUCUUUUCAUCCUAGGUCAGGUCUACAAUGGGGGAAGGUUUUAUUAUAGAACUCCCAACAGCCCACCUCACUCCUGCCACCCACCUGAUGGCCCUGCCUCCCCCAUCCCAUCCCCAACAUCCCUGUACCACCUUCUCUCACAUCUUCUAAAGCUUUCUACAAAUCACAAUGGUGCACUUCCAACAGAAUAUAUCAAUAGGUGUUUUCCUCUCUUAUUUUGUAAAUAAUAUUAUUUUAGCUAUUAAGCUGGAUACCUUCUUUCAAAUUCAGCCAUUCAGUUGUAAAGUUGGGAAGAAGUUUCUUGACAAGACUCUACAAUUAAAUGCUUAAAAUUUGGGGGGAUCCUUCCUUGAUUACAUCAAGUAUGUUGGUACAUGGGUUUAUACAAGUUCCUCUUGAGAAGGCAAAAAGACCACCAUGUGUGAGAGCUCUUUGACUUGGCCAAUAGGGGCCUAUCUUAAUGCACUUGUUUGGACACAUUUCUGAUCUUAUUUGUAAAGGCUGCAAAAGGAGAGGAUGAAAUGCUGUAAAAGUAGGAAAUGAAGUGGAAGCUGGAAGAAAAUGUAAUUGGUGGUACAGCUAUGGGCCAGAUGGUGGAGGGGAGGGUGGGGACCCCUGCCGGCAAGCAGAGUGUCACAGCUGGCUUUCCUCACUUGGGAAAAGGGUACUGCUGGUCUAGCAGCCUCCUCUGUACUCAGCCAGGACACCCAGCGCGUGGGACCUGUUUGUGUCUGUUUUGCUUCCUUGGGAACGGCACAGUCACUCACCCUGCCAUUUGCGGAAAUGACCUGGUGCACUUUGACUGUUAAGCAAUGCGUUAUUGCUGUAGUCAAGGUUAGUGCAAGCAAGGAAACAUUCCCAGUAAGGUAUUUGUUUCCAUUUUCUGUCUGUGCUUCUGUCAGAAACUUGCUAGGACAUUUAGUGGCCAAUAAAAAAGAAAUUCCUAAUUUCAACCUUA